UGCAGAGGGGGCAAGCGUUGUUCGGAAUUACUGGGCGUAAAGGGCGCGUAGGCGGCCUUCUAAGUCGAACGUGAAAUCCCCGGGCUCAACCCGGGAACUGCGUCCGAUACUGGAAGGCUUGAAUCCGGGAGAGGGAUGCGGAAUUCCAGGUGUAGCGGUGAAAUGCGUAGAUAUCUGGAGGAACACCGGUGGCGAAGGCGGCAUCCUGGACCGGCAUUGACGCUGAGGCGCGAAAGCGUGGGGAGCAAACAGG
rnacentral:rRNA from 1 species